rnacentral:lncRNA from 1 species
CAGAUAUUCAUGAGGAGGAAAAAGGGCUAGAUCGGUCAGGAAAUUAUUCAUUUUACAUUAUUCACUCAGCUCUAAACAAUGCUUAGAAAUAUGUGGUUAUACAGCUGUGUGAACUGAUUCAUCUCAUUCACUUGACUUUUUUUUCAAGUUGUCUUUAAAUAUGGAACCCUCAACCGUAGAAGGCUUGCAUCUAUCACUUAAACAAAGUCAUCUGCCAACUAGUCAACAGAUAACAUAAGGGGGAAAUUCCAUUUUGGGUCUAAAUAUCCUGUGUUCACUUUAUCACUGUUGUAUCAGCAAAAGCAAAACAAACAGCAGUCUUAUUAUGGAAUCCAUCUUCCUGCUGAAUGGAUCUCUCUGGACCAAGAAACUAUUUCCCAGCAGGACUGUACAUUUCUUUCAAUUUCAGCUACCAGCACAUCAACUUUUGGGACCAAAGACUAAGUAGAAUGAUUUGAACAAGGACAUCUGGUAAACUGACUUUUUAAAAUUCAUUAGACUGUUUCUCUUGUGUUAAGAAAGCCUAAGAGAAACAGCUAUACUUUACAGUAUUUUCUAAACAUAGCCAUUUAACUUUGGAGGUAACCCAAGAUUUAUCCAUGCCUGAAAUCAUUUACAGUUCUUUCUAUAUUGCCGACUGCCUCCAAAGGAGUGCCUCUUUCCACGGAGGUGCAGACAUCAGAGCUUGCUGGCCUCAAGAUGGAAGCCUGGAAGUAUUGGUCACCUCAGCACUUCGAGAUCUUUGUGCCUAGUCCAGCUCUGCACCAGUUUCUCAGAAAAAAUAUUCUGAGUAAGAUGCAUCCGAGUUUUUCUGAACCGUGUUCACAGAAAUGGACAAGUGAAUAAUAGCAUGGGCCUGAAUUUCUCUUAUAAGUCUGAUGAGUGCAUUGCAUGCUGCUGGAAUAUAGUGCCAAACUGGAUUAGUCCAUUGACAGAGCAGGGGAAAUACACCAAACCCGAAAUCUUUGGAGACAGUGGUAAGUCACCAAUUCCAUUAUCUUGUGAAAUAUUAGUUUUGACCAUUGCAUGGACCAUAAUUACCAAAUGAAUUAACAUAACCCCUACUCCUUUUCAUUUUAGUUUAUUCCCCUACCCCCCGUGCUUUAUGGAUCUGUCUAUUCAGUUUCUGGUCCUG